rnacentral:rRNA from 1 species
GGCCUAACACAUGCAAGUCGAACGGCAGCGCGGGGCAACCUGGCGGCGAGUGGCGAACGGGUGAGUAAUAUAUCGGAACGUACCCUGGAGUGGGGGAUAACGUAGCGAAAGUUACGCUAAUACCGCAUACGAUCUACGGAUGAAAGUGGGGGACCCGCAAGGCCUCAUGCUCCUGGAGCGGCCGAUAUCUGAUUAGCUAGUUGGUGGGGUAAAAGCCCACCAAGGCGACGAUCUGUAGCUGGUCUGAGAGGACGACCAGCCACACUGGGACUGAGACACGGCCCAGACUCCUACGGGAGGCAGCAGUGGGGAAUUUUGGACAAUGGGCGCAACCUGAUCCAGCAAUGCCGCGUGCAGGACGAAGGCCUUCGGGUUGUAAACUGCUUUUGUACGGAACGAAACGGUCUCUUCUAAUACAGGAGGCUAAUGACGGUACCGUAAGAAUAAGCACCGGCUAACUACGUGCCAGCAGCCGCGGUAAU